rfam:Aliifodinibius roseus strain DSM 21986 genome assembly, contig: Ga0134108_103
GCCCCCAUAGUUCAAUUGGAGAGAACGGAGGUUUCCUAAACCUCAGAUCCUGGUUCGAUUCCGGGUGGGGGUA